AUUGUUUUUGCUCAAAAACUCUUUGGAAAAAGAAUUGGAAAAGAAAAAUAAAAAGAAAAACCCCCCAGCCAAACUCCUCUCCCCCUCUCCCCCUGCGCAGGCCGCUCCCCGGCCCAGCACGCGCACAGCCCAGCAGGCCCGCAGCGCGCCCCUUUCCCCCUUUCUCUCUCUGCCUCAGGGGCUCCACCUGUCAGCGCUUCUCCUUCCCCAGCGUGGCCGAAAACGACUCCUCACGAACCGGCUCCAACCGAUUCCGAAAACGACGGGAUUCCUUACCAAAUCCGCGUGCUAAGCCCUAUAAAGCUCUAAGCACCGACCCCCGCGCGUUCACUUCCCGUUUCGUCGCAAAAACGGUGCCCUAGAACCCGCUGCUACGCUAAAACAGAUCUCGCCGAAACUCUAUCCUAGCCGCCGCCGUCGCGUGCGUUCUCCGCUCCCCCUCAGCCCAAGA
rnacentral:lncRNA from 1 species